AAAGAGAGUUGCUUUAAGAGCAAGUAGGGGCACCAUAGACCACGCUACUAGGGGAGAAAAGAAAAUGAAGGAGAGGAGCAGCGGUUAAGAAAAGUUGCACUCAAUAUCUCAAAGGACGUGAAGAAAUUCUGGAUGAAAAUAGAAAAACUGUCCACUUUGUUCAAAUGGUUAUCUAAUUUCUUCAAAUAACUCAAGGCACUUGAUAAGCAACUUGAGUUUCUUUUGGGCCAAACCGAGAAGUACUCAACAAUGUUAGCAGAAAGUCUCGUUGAUACUCAUAAACCAGUGCAACAAUGUACUACACAAGAUCAAUUGAGUAUUAAAUACAAAGAUGCUAAUGUGGGACUAUGUGAGUGAGAUACACAUGCAACCUUGUUGUGAAUAUUUAGAGAGAACUAUCAGGCAAUUUCUUGUCCUAUAUUGGGUGAUAUGAGUCAUGGAGCUGUUUACCUUUUAGACUUUACAAUUUUUUUGUGCAUCUAAGUUGUGAGUCUUUUUUGUGCAUCUGUGUUGUGGGUCUGUUUUGUGCAUGAGUUGUGGUUCUGGAUUGGUGAAAUUGGGUUUCUUUAGGGUUUAAAAGUAGUCGUGUUGGUUUAAAAUUUGGGUCCUGCUGCUACAUUGUGUUGUCUUCUUUUAACUAGGUAGAGAUGCUGGGAUUU